CAAAUUUUAUUUGUCACGUACACAGUCAUACACAGUACGAUAUGCAGUGAAAUGCUUGGACAACUGCUCGUGACCUAAAGAAAACAAAAAAGGAAAAGGCUAUGAAUAAGAUAGGAAAUAAAUAUGAAAAAUUAAAAAGGGUAAAUUUAACUAGGAAGGAAUAAGAUAUAAAUUAAGGAAAUAAAUAUGAAAAAUUAAAAAGGGUAAAUUUAACAAGGAAGGAAUAAAAUAUAAAUUAAGGAAAUAAAUAUGAAAAAUUAAAAAGGGUAAAUUUAACUAGGAAGGAAUAAAAUAUAAAUUAAGGUUAAAAAUGAAAUAACUGUACAACACAAAUUAGAAUGAAAGGUAAAUUUAACUGGGAAGAAUAAGAUAAAUAUAUAAAUUAAAGUUGAAAAUAAAAUAACUGUACAACAAAAUACACAAUACACAAUAUAGAACUAUAUAAGAAUGUAUGAAGAAAUCUAAAUAUAAAUAAAUAUAUACACAAUAACAGCAGCUGUACAAGUAUUAACCGGAAAUGAAGAAUAUAGUGACCAGUGUUGUGCAAAACCAAAGUCCAGAAAGUCCAGUGUGUGUAAGAACCAUAUGUGUGGGUCAGUACUGUGUGGUGGUGUGAUUGAGAGACCGUAUCGCCUGCGGGAAGAAGCUCCUCCUCAGUCUCUCU
ensembl:lncRNA